rnacentral:SRP_RNA from 1 species
GCCGGGCGUGGUGGCUCACGCCUGUAAUCCCAGCACUUUGGGAGGCCAAGGUGGGAGGAUGGCUUGAGCCCAGGAGUUCAAGACCAGCAUGGGCAACAUAGUGGGACCCUGUCUCAAAAUAAAUAAAUAAAUAAAUAAAUAAAUAAAUAAAUAAAUAAAUAAUUUUUUUAAAAAAAGAAAAGUAGUUUCUUCUUUUCUUGUUGUUAAGAGAUAGGGUCUCGCUAUGUUGCCCAGGCUGGCCUUGAACUCCUGGGCUCAAGUGAUCCUCCCACCU